rnacentral:rRNA from 1 species
UACAGAGGAGGCAAGCGUUGUUCGGAAUUACUGGGCGUAAAGGGCGCGUAGGCGGCCUUCUAAGUCGAACGUGAAAUCCCCGGGCUCAACCCGGGAACUGCGUCCGAUACUGGAAGGCUUGAAUCCGGGAGAGGGAUGCGGAAUUCCAGGUGUAGCGGUGAAAUGCGUAGAUAUCUGGAGGAACACCGGUGGCGAAGGCGGCAUCCUGGACCGGUUCUGACGCUGAUGCGCGAAAGCGUGGGUAGCAAACAGG